rfam:Felis catus isolate Cinnamon breed Abyssinian chromosome B1, whole genome shotgun sequence.
GCCUGGGUGGCUCAGUUGGUUGAGCGUCCGACUUAGGCUCAGGUGAUCUCACAGCUUGUGGGUUCGAGCCCCGCAUCAGGCU